GGCCAGACUCCUACGGGAGGCAGCAGUGGGGGAUAUUGCACAAUGGGGGGAACCCUGAUGCAGCGACGCCGCGUGGGUGAAGGAGUAUUUCGGUAUGUAAAGCCCUAUCGGCAGGGAAGAAGCAAGACGGUACCUGACUAAGAAGCCCCGGCUAACUACGUGCCAGCAGCCGCGGUAAUACGUAGGGGGCGAGCGUUAUCCGGAUUCACUGGGUGUAAAGGGAGCGUAGACGGCCGUGCAAGCCAGGAGUGAAAGCCCGGGGCCCAACCCCGGGACUGCUCUUGGAACUGCGUGGCUAGAGUGCAGGAGGGGCAGGCGGAAUUCCUGGUGUAGCGGUGAAAUGCGUAGAUAUCAGGAGGAACACCGGUGGCGAAGGCGGCCUGCUGGACUGCAACUGACGUUGAGGCCCGAAAGCGUGGGGAGCAACCAGGAUUAGAUACCCCGGUAUU
rnacentral:rRNA from 1 species